rnacentral:rRNA from 1 species
UACGUAGGGCGCAAGCGUUGUCCGGAAUUAUUGGGCGUAAAGAGCUCGUAGGCGGUCUGUCGCGUCGGCUGUGAAAACUCGGGGCUCAACUCCGAGCUUGCAGUCGAUACGGGCAGGCUGGAGUUCGGUAGGGGAGAUCGGAAUUCCUGGUGUAGCGGUGAAAUGCGCAGAUAUCAGGAGGAACACCGGUGGCGAAGGCGGAUCUCUGGGCCGAUACUGACGCUGAGGAGCGAAAGCGUGGGGAGCGAACAGG